UUUUACCCACCCCUCCCAUGCCGUACAGUCCGAUCAUAUUGACACUGUCAUCUUUGAGAGCUUCCAUAAUCUGUUUGAAAGCUUCUUCUGACGAUUUUGAGGGCGUGAAUUUCUUUGAUGGAAGAAAUUCUAUGGGCUCAGGAUGAGCUCUGUGGGACACUUUUGUAGGCUUUUUUCCCUAAAAGUUCUCUGAAAGUCUCCGACUUCUUGGCCAGUGCCUUGCUUAACUUGAAUUGUCGCAUGCAGUUUGGACACCAAGUAAAGCAUUUGCCAUUUUUUCCUAUUUCAUUUUCCAAGGGCUUCGCACGUUCAAUUUCGUCUUCUGCAUCUCCCAGCCACCUUUCGACAUCCUUCUUAAUUUCUUCAGCAUUCCUUUCAGCAGCAUCGACAUCUUUUUGCAGACCAUCUAGUGCUAAAGCAAGGUUCUCCUUUUUUUGUUUGAAUUCUUCAACAAAAUGGUUGAAACAGAACAUGUAACGGAACUGCCUUCCUACUGGUUCCACCAUGAGCUCUGCUAUCUUAGAUAUAACGGAUCCACCCACACUUUCAAGAGCCAUUUUCCACAGGUCUGAAAAUCAAAGAAAUAAGGAUACAGAACGUGAGAGUGAGUCACUACAAGUAAAACAGGCGCAGAGAGAAUGGGAAUAGGAACUUCAUUACCUUAAUUUGGGAAAAUAUGUGAGAAAAGCACUGGCAAUCAAUGAAAUAGCGGGAGGAAGAAAAGGAGAAGGCCUCUAGCUCUGUAUGGAAUCCAGCUUCAAAAGCAACAGGGCAAGAUUCAAACUGACACUUGUGAGUUGAAGUAGUAAUUCCCAUUAAAAAUGCAUCUUGAUGACAUAAUUAAGAUAAUAUAGAGACAGUGACAGAGAAAUAAAGAAACGAAUGAAAAGUUCAGGAUAAUCACAUAGACGUCUUCAUGGAUGAUACCAGCUCGCUACCAACAAACAAAUAUAAUUAACCUAAGUUGUGAUAGGUCAAAGUUUUUUUUAGAUUUAUUUAAAAAAAAAAACAGAUCAACAAAGAAUAAUUAUCGAAAGAAACUCCAUAAAGAAUCAAACUGAAGCAAUUAAAAAUAAUUAAUUUAUUUCAAAUUUAAAUUAUAUUUAUUAAAUUAUAUAUAAACAGUAUAACUUUUAAAUGGCAACCCAAAACACUUUAAAAUCAAAAUAUUCCAUUUCAAUUGAAAAAAUAAAAUAAUUGCAUUCAGCAAUUAAGCACAGCAAUAUUAAAAAAAGAAAAAAGCUAAAAGAAAUACGUUUUUUAUGGCAUCGAGAGUGCGGUUACUUUUUUCAUCCCUUUUUUUUUUGUUUUAUUUUAUUUCAGUCCUUCAAGUCUUUUUCUUUUGCUAUUUCAUCGAGUUUCUUUACUCUUGAGUUGUUGUGCUUGCUCUCGAAUAUGCAUUAUGCUAGGAAUUACAAUUACAUUACAUAAAAAAUUAUAAUUACAAAUUUAAAAAAAAUUAUGAGAAAGGACCAACAUUACAAUGUGAGCAAAUGAAAGGAGAAUUUUAAAUUUUCUUGUGACAUGGUGAAAAGCUAAUCCAAGGAACCAAUAGAUUAUCGCCACUUGUUCACCCUUAUCUGCACAUUAAGAUAGGGGUAGAAAGUAGGAGAGAAAAGUCAUAAUCUUAGAUUCUUUUGUGACAUGGAGAUAAAGGUCAUCUCAAAAGCUAAUAGAUAGUCGCCACGUGUUCGACUUUAUCUACCCUUUAGUAAAGGAUAGAAAGUGCGAGAGAGAAAGGUUAAAAGGCUUUAAAAGAAAAGGAAAAAAAAUGGAAAGACACGGUUGAGAAAACAGGGACGUGGAACUAGAACCAGAAACGGAAGGAGACAUAGAAAGAUCGGAGGGGAGUAAGAAAAAAAUAUGAAUAUGUGAUGUCCUAUUUUAUUUGGAAUUUCUUUGGACACUUUAAUAAUAUAAUAACAAAAAAAAUUAAAAUAUUUAUGAAAUUAUCAUUCAUUCAAACACAUAUUUACUGUGGAAUACAAUAGUAUUUUUUUCUAUAUUUUACGUUUUAGUUUUUGAUAGCCAUGCUCGUUUGAUUUUUUUAUUUUUGUUUUCAUGCUCUUACAAAUAAAGCAGGAAACGAGGACCUGAAAUCACGACAGCAAAUAAGGAGAGAAAUAACGUGUUUAACCGAACCUCGUAACUCCAGGAAAGUGAAGGACUAAACCAUAGUGGCAAAAAUCUUAAAGGGUUCUAAAUUGUCUCUGUUACUUUCCCUUAAUUUUCUAGACAAGCAAAAGGAGCUAAACUUAUUCCCGACCAAAACAUCAAGAAUUUCAGUAGAGCAAAAGUAGAGAUUAUUACUUGACCAUAAACAACUAGUCAGCACUACCCAAAGAAACCGAGUCAAUGAGAGAAAAAGACUAUUAGCUAGAAAAGAAUCAACAGAUCCAAGAAUUUUCUGUAUGGUUUCCAAGAAAAUGAAACGAAAUGAGCAGCACAACCCUCUUUCUCCACAAGAAAAGAAAAGAAAAAGAAAGGAAAGAAACAAAGAUAGAAAGUCAAACUUGGCUUCUCUUUAAGUGUUAUAAAAAAAAAAAAAAAAAAAAAAAAGUUCGAGGAAGUGGGCAGCCUUUUUUCUGCUGUUUAUGUGGUGUUCUGCUGUUCACGCAGACUAAGAACUCCUACCAUCGUAAAAUCAUAUAAUUAAAACACAACAAAAAAAAAGUAAUGAGCAGCUCAUUAUGUGCGAAAACCAGAGAAAUAAGGUUACAGAACGUGAGAGUGAGUCACUACAAGUAAAAGAGGCUCAGAGAGAAUGGGAAUAGGAAUUUCAUUACCUUAACUUGAGAAAUAUAUGCGAAAAGCACUGGUAUUGAGUGCUCAAUGAAAUAGCGGGAGGAAGAAGAGGAGAUGGCCUUUAGCUCUGUAUGGAAUCCAGCUUCAAAAGCAACAACGCAAGGUCUAAGCAUUUUGAUGACAUAAUUAAGAUACUAUGCGUAGUAAUAUAGAGACAGUGACAAAAAAAUAAAGAAAAAUAAUGUGUAAAAGUACUCACCUAGCAAAGAAAGAAACGAAUGAAAGGUUCGGAUAAUCACUUAGACGUCUCCAUGGAUGAUACCAGCUCGCUUCCACCAACAAAUUUAAUUAACCUAAGCUGUGACAGGUGUUUUUUUAAUUUAUUUUAUUUUAAAAAAAUACAGAUCAACAAGAGAAAGAGAAAAGACUUGCAAAAAAGUAGAAUUGCUGAAAGAAACUCAACAAAGAAUCAAACUCAAGCAGGUUAAUGAUUGACCUAUAACAAUAUUUAAAAAAAAAUAAAAAAAGCUAAAAGAACUACGUUUUUAAUAGCAUCUAGAGUGCGGUUACUUUUUUCAUCCCUCAUUUGUGGUUUUAUUUUAUUUCAGUCCUUCAAGUCUUUUUAUUUCGCUAUUUCAUCGAGUUGCUUUGGUCUUGAGUUAUUGUGCUUGCCCUCGAAUAUGCAUUAUGCUAGGAAUUACAAUUACAUCACCUAAAAAUUACAAUUACAUAUUAUAAUUACAAAUUUCAGUUUUUUAAAAAAAACAAUUUAUUAGAAAGGACCAAUAUUACAAUGUGAGCAAAUGAAAGGAGAACUUUAAAUAUUCUUGUGACAUGGUGACCAGGUAAUCCAAGGAACCAAUAGAUUAUCGCCACUUGUUCAGCCUUAUCUCCACAUUAAGGAUAGGGGUCGAAAGUAGGAGAGAAAAGUCAUAAUCUUAGAUUCUUUUGUGACAUGGAGAUAAAGGUAAUCUCAAAAGUUAACAGAUAGUCGCCACGUGUUCGAUUUUAUCUACCCAUUAGAAAAGGAUAGAAAGUAGGAGAGAAAAGUCAUAAUCGUUGUGACAUGGAGAUAAAGGUAACUCAAAAGCUAAUAGAUGGUCGCCACGUGUUCAACUUUAUCUACCCAUCCAUUAGGAAAGGAUAGAAAGUAGGAGAGAAAAGGUUAAAUGUUUUUUUUUUAACUAUUCAAUAUAUUCAUAGAAAACACUCAAAAUAAAAUUAUAGACAAAAAAAUAUAUAUUUCUUAUUUAUUGAAAACAUAAAAUUUUAAUUCAUGCAUUUUUUUUAUUUAAAAAAUGUAUUUUUUAUGAGUAACAUUAUUUUGCUCAAUGUCCCUAAUACAUAAUUAGUUAUAAAGUAAUGAAAAUAUCAUAAUAAAAAUUCCUAAUCUUCUUGAAAACAAUUAAAUAAUUGAACAAUCACUUAAAUAUUAUUUUAAUAAAUUGAUUGAAAGAAAUUUUUAAUUAAAAAUAAAGAAUAAAGAAUAAAAUGAUAUCUAAGAUAAAGGUCAUACAAAUUAAUAAAUUAUAAGUAGCAAUAUUUAAUGCAAGUUUAAGAAUAAGAGUUUGCUUUGUGUUUUGUUGUGAGAUUAACCAUAUCAAAUUAUAUAUUUAAUAAUAAAUAAUUGUGUUGUGUUAUGAGUAAAAUCAAUAAAUUAAAACACAACAAUAAAAAAGUAAUGAGCAGCUAAUUAUGUGCGAAAACCAGAGAAAUAAGGAUACAGAACGUGAGAGUGAGUCACUACAAGUAAAAGAAGGUCAGAGAGAAUGGGAAUAGGAAUUUCAUUACCUUAACUUGAGAAAAUAUGUGCGAAAAGCACUGGUAUAUAACAAAUAUACUGAUGAAAGGAAGAAGAGGAGAAGGCCUUUAGCUCUGUAUGGAAUCCAGCUUCAAAAGCAAUAAGGCAAGGUCUAAGCAUUUUGAUGACAUAAUUAAGAUAAUAUGCGUAGUAUAUAACAAAGAGACAGUGACAAAGAAAUGAAGGAAAAAAAUGUGUACAAGUACUCACCUAGCAAAGAAAGAAACGGAUGAAAGGUUCAGGAUAAUCACUUAGACGCCUCCAUAGAUGAUACCAGCUCGCUUCCAAUAACAAAUAUAAUUAACCUAAGCUGUGAUCGGUCAAUGUUUAUUUUAAUUUUCUUCUUUUUUUAAAAAAAAAAAAAACAGAUCGACAAGGGAAAAGACUUGCAAAGAAAUAGAAUUAAUGGAACGAACACAACAAAGGAUCAAUCUCAAGCAAUUAAAAGUAAUUGUCUAUGAGUACCAUCUGUGUCACACGCUCAAGUGAGGAGAGAAAAGAAAAAGAAAGAAAGGAAAGGGACAAGGAAGGCAGAAAGUAAGGUCACGUAGGGCCAGUCUUGUAGAAAGUUUGAAAAGUAGCAUGAAAUAAGAGGAUAAUAGCAUAGUUGUCAGAAUCAAAACACGUAUAAACAGAGGACAAAAACAGGGAGGGAGGCUGUUUUUUUUUUUUUAACUGUGUCGAGUGCUUUUUAUAAUUAUAUUUAAUUUACAAAAUAUUAAAUUAAUAUAUUUUUUAAUAUUUAUUGUUAUUAUAUAUAUAUAUAUAUAUUUAAUAUUUAAUAAAUUUUUAAAUAAAUUUUUUUUAAAAAAAGUAUGUGUCACAAUACAAAAUUAUAUAAUAAAUUAAAAAAAAAAGGAGUUUUAUGCUCAUUAAUAUUCACUAGACUUGUAGAUAUUAAUAAUAAAGUUUUUGAAAGUUUUCGAUCUAGUAUUUGAACUUAUUUUUUUUGCAUAAAUGAAUUUUUUUAAGCUUAAUUGCAGUUUUUUUAAGGAAAUAGGUUGAAUUGAGAAACAGAGAAACUCGGCAAAAAUACGUGGUUAAAAUCAAUCCAUUUUUUUAUAAAAAAAACUCCUUAGUUGUUGAGGAAAGAUUGGUAGUGGGAACAAAUCACCAAAGUCAGCAGCAAGGAAGUUCCGAGAAGUGGGCAGCCUUUCUUCUGCUGUUCAUGCAACUCCUACCAUUUUUAAAAUAAUAUAUUUAAAAUACAAUAAUAAAAAUGUAAUACGUAGCUAAUUAAUGUAUUAAGCAGCUAAUUAAUGUUGCUGUUCUUUCUUCUUGUUCUGCUAUUUUGAUUUUAUUGUAUUUUUAAAAAACAUUAUGAUUGUGAAAGCUAGCCAAACCAUUAGAGCAAAGCAAUGUCCGAAGGUUUUUGAGAGUGUGGUUGUUGUUAUUUUUUAAAGUGUUUUUUAUUUAAAAAUAUAUUAAAAUAAUAUUUUUUUUUAUUUUUUAAAAAUUAUUUUUGAUAUUAACGCAUCAAAAUUAUUUGAAAACACUAAAGAAAUACUAAUUUGAAGUAAAGAAAAAAAAUAAAAAUUUUUUUCAAAAGUACUUUUGAAAUGUAAAAACAAACAGAGCCUAGUGUAGUUACGCCCAAUGUUGUCCCGAGAUAUUUUUUAUAAUCUAACUUUUUUAAUAUAUUUUUUUAUUUAAUUAUGCAAUAUAUUCAUAGAAAACACUAAAAUAUAUAUUUCAUCAAAAUUCUCUAGUCUGAUUUGAUUAUGUAUUUUUCUAAAAAAAAAAAAGUUUUUGACUAUAGAAAAAGUAAUAAGAACCAGGAAAAGUAUCCUAAGAAACUGUAAUGAUUUGAACUAAAAAAAUAUUUUUUUUUAUUGAAAACAUAAAUUUUUAAUUCACGCAUUUUUUUAUUUAAAAAAAAAUGUAUUUUUUAUGAGUAACAUUAUUUUGCUCAAAUGUCCCUAAUACUUAAUUAUUCAUAAUGUAAUGAAAAUAUCAUAAUAAAAAUGCCUAAUCUUCUUGAAAACAAUUAAAUAAUUGAACAAUCACUUAAAUAUUAUUUUAAUAGAUUGAUUGAAAGAAAUGUUUUAUUAAAAAUAAACAAUAAAGAAUAAAAUGAUAUCUAAGAUAUAUAAAGGUCAUACAAGCCUUCAAAGAUAAUAUAUGUACAUGUACAAUACAAAUUAAUAAAUUCUAAUUAGUAAUAUUUAAUGCAAGUUAAGAAUAAGAGUUUGCGUUGUGUGAACCAUAUCAAAUUAUUUAAUAAUAAAUAAUUGUGCUGUGUUAUGAGUAAAAUCAGUAAAAUAUUUGGUGUUCUGUUGUCUUGUUGUUUGAAUUAAAAUUAUUAUUAAGAAUAUAAAUUAAAUUAAAUAUUUAAAAAACUAAAUGAAUUCCUUAAUAAAUAAAUAAAUUCUUUCUUUAGAAAGCAUGGAAAUGCCAUGACAUUGGCUUUAUAGAGAAUACUACGAAAUUAACAGCCAAAAAAGUUAUCGAUAGCUGUGUAAAUCAUUGGAUUCGAUGGAAGGAAGAUGGGAAGAGGGGAAAUGGGUAACUGGAAAUUAAAAAGAGAUGAAGAUAUGUGCAUGGCUACCUGUUUUUGAGAAUCAUGGAAAGUUCUCCCUAACUUAAAACGGCACCAAUUAUAAGUUCAUUAAAACAAAUCUGGAACACAACAGAUGGAAAAAACUCGAAACAACUCGUCUAGAAUAUAGGCAAUGAACUCGAAACAACAGAUUUAUUUCAUUUUGUUUUGUUUUUUAAAAUAAUACAAGAUAUAUUAUCUAUUUCAGGUGAAACAUAAUGGAAACGACAACCUUUAAAGGGAGUAGAGACCACAUAUGUGUCGCUCGAAUUCAAUAGCCUUUCUCCUAUACUGGCAUGUGCUUUACACGCACCAGCAUUUCUUUCCUUUUUAUUAUAUAAUAUUCAACAUCGGUGAGUGAGGAUUUGGUAGCUGGCCUUAUUAGUAGUGUUGGUUGCUGAAUUGUCAGGCGUGUUUUGGGGCCAUGCGUGGUCACCAAGAACAAAUCCGUGAGGGCGGUAAAGCUCCAAAAUGAAUAAUUGCCCAAUCGAGUUAACGUUUUAUGGUCUUUUCUCCAUGAUUCGGGUUGAACAUUUGACAUUUAUCCUUUUUUUCUAUAGUCUUUUCUCCAUGUUCAUUGUGAUGACACACACUUGCGACAACCAGUAAAUCUAUAGUUAAUUUCAUUUUUUGAUAAAAGAUAAUACCAUGGAUGUAGAAUGGUUACCAAUUGUUAGUUUAAUAUGCCUUGUAGCCAAUCAGUUAGUUACACAAGCCAUUAUUAUAUUCAUGUAAAUACAUAUUUAUUAUUAAUAAAGACUUAAUUUAACUUUAAUAUUCAUAUAAUAUUAGAUUAAUGAAUCUAGAGUAUAGAUAAAGUUUAUGUGCAAAAAAUGCUUUGCAAAGAAAAUUAUAAAGUUGCUAUAAUUAUGAGAUUUUUAAUGCAUCAAAGUAUUGUUCAUAAAAUGAUCUUGGUCGAUGCUCUCUUAAAUACUAGAUAUUUAUUAGAGCCAUAAAAACUGAUACAUAUUAUAUUUUUUCUUUAAUGAAAUGAAGCAACUGUUCUUAUAAGUUUAGCUAUAAGGGAUACCUAAAACUAAUAUGUAAGUGCUUGUCAUAAGACAUAUACACUGAAUUGACCCGCAUGUGAAUUCCAUAUGGAGAGAUUACCUAUGUCUAUGGAAAGACUCACGUGAUGAUUGUAUAUGUAAUCCUUAGGCUUGAGAUCACUAAGUUAUCUUAUAUAGAGAAUGUUAUGCUUUGAUCCUGUUACAUGUUAUCUUAAUUGAGGUAACAAAAUGAUAUAGAUUGGGUAUAUCAAGAACUAUAUGAAGGUACUUGAGUGAUCAAGAGAGGAUUUCAUCACCCUAUGUGAGUUAGAAAAAAUGUUCCAUCUGUUCUCAAAUAGUAUUGACUGAGAAAUCUUUGGCCAAGGUAGAAUGAGAUUUAAAAAGAGUUUCAAAUCUUAUUCAAAUGAUCAAUUAAUAUUAUGUAGAGAAUGAACAUGAUUUAACAUGUCAAACAUACUUCAUGCUUUAAUGUUAAAUAAGAACAUUAGUAAUAAAAUGGUAUUAAUUACAAUGAGAAACCGAUAAUUGAAACCACUAAUGACUUUUCUAAUAUUUUAGGGGAUCAUGACACGUUACUAGACAAUGCACAUGAUCUUCAAAUCUUUAAUUCUAAUUUAUUUAAUUAUAAUUAUAAUUUAUAUUUGGGCCAAUAUAUUAGGAACCUAAUAGGUCAUACACAUUAAGAAUUAAACUAUGAUGAUUUAAUUAAGUAUAACUUGAUUAAAAUAUAUUUUAGAAAUUAAGGACUAUAAUAUAAUUAAUACAAGGAUUAUAUUUUCAGAUCUAGAAAAAUCAGGUAAGGACUUGAUUGAGUUAAUUUAUAAAAUUAUCUUAAAUUAAUAUAUGGAUAUUAUUCAAUGAGGAAAUUGAUAUUUUGUCAAUUUAUAGGGUUUUUUAUAUUUCCUUACAAAUAGUAAGCUAUGCCUCUUAAUUUUUAGGAGUUAUCUGUUAGACAGAAAAACUACGUAUGUCACAGAAUAAAGAGAUAACACUCUAGAUAUAACAAUCCCUCUCUCCUAAAUAAGGACUUAUGAGAUUUUUCAUUAAUGGUUCAUGUGGAUUACCGUUGAAAGACGAACAAUUGAACGACUUCUAGUUUACAACAAUUCAGUCUUUUAAAAAUUAUUCAAAAUCGAAGAUGAUCAAAUCUUCAGAUAAUAAAUUCCUAAACUCUAGAUCUGUUUAACGAAAUUCUAGAGAAUCCUAAAUAAUUUUAUAACCUCUUAAUUUAUGCAAGAACUAAGCUAGAUUUCAUCCAAGCAAUCACUAACUCUAGUAUUUUCUGUGUUAAAAAAGGAGACUUCCUGGUGUUCGCCGGAACUUGGGUAUACUAUAUUUGAACAAAUAACAAGGUAAAAACAUCUUUUAACGAUAUUAAAAUAAUUUAUUAAUAUAAAUUACUUUUUUUAUAUUAAUAUUAAAAAUAAAAAAAUAUUUUAACAAACAUCUACUUAUUCAAACACUUAAAAAUAAAAAUCUUAAAAUCACAGCAUGAUAAAAGAACAAAGAAAGGAAUGGGACAAGGAAGAAAGAAUUAAAAAAAUGAUAUAUAUAUAUUCUAGUUUGUUGUUUUUCUUUAUAUAAUUUAUAUAAAACCAGCUUAUUUAAUGGAUCAUAUUUAAUUAAUCAGGACUAAAUAAAUAAAUAAAAGAUAUACUCUCUCUUCCCAUUUCCUCUCCCAACUGAAUUUUGGCGACCACCACCCACACAACGAUAGCCUACAGAACCACCAGCCAUACCACUUUUCAAGACCCCUUCUCCAUUUUCCCUCAAUUUUCUAGACAAGCAAAAGGAGAUAAACUUAUUCCCGACCAAAACGUCAAGAAUUUCAGUACAACAAAAGAAGAGAUUAUUACUUGACCAAAAAAAACUGGUCAGCACCAGUGGCGGAGCCAGAGAUUUUUAAAUGAGGGGGCAAAUUGUUAACAAAUACUAUAUUAUAUAGACAUGUAUUAAAAAUCAAUUCAAAACAUAUAUAUUAAUUCAUAUCAAUUCAAAACAUAUAUAUUAAUUCAUAUCAAGUAAAAUUAAUAUAAAAAUACUUUUAAAAUGAAAAAACUUAAAUUAUAAUUGUUCUCUUCGAGUUUUCAUAUUUUGAAACCGCUUCAUAAUAGCUUCAUUAUCAAUCUUAUCGAAGAUAUCUUUCUCAAUGUAUACAACCAAACUAUCAUUCAUCCACUUAUCUCCCAUCUUGUUCCGCAAUCUACUCUUGACAAUAUGCAUAGCAGAAAAAACUCUCUCCACUGUAGCAGUUGCAACUGGUAGAAGUAAUGACAAUUUGAUAAGCAUAUAUACCAAUGGAAAUAUCAAAUUCUUCUUUGUUUUUACCAUUUUCUCUGCAAGACUAGCAAUACCUUCAAUACCAGAGAACUCAUCAUCACCACGUAGAUCAAUAAUAUACGUAUCAAGUUGGUCACCAAGUACCAUAAGGUCCACUAUAGAGAAUUCACUAGGAUAAAAAAGAGCAAGACGAAUAAGCUUUUCUUUGUUGAAAGUAGAGAAAGAGUCAUUUGGGCUUAAACAUGCCACACAAAGAAGUAACUCCAUACUCGUCUCGGUAAAACGAUCAUCCAAUUCAGUAAGUUGUAUGUCAAUGAUAUUGUUAAACAAUUCAUAACGAAAAUGGUGUAAGUUUGUAAUCCCUUGAGAUUUUCGCCUUGAACGCCCACGAAGCUUGUACUCAUCAUCCAUGUUUAGAAUAUCAAUAUCAUGUUUGAUGCAAAAAGAUGACACUUCUUCCAGUAAAGAUUCCCAAUCAUUCUCUCUCAUCAAUUUGAAUCGUUCCUUUGAUGUUUUCAAUAAACUCAUAGCAUUUUCUAUGUCUUGAUCUUUUCUUUGUAAUGCUUGUGAUAACUCAUUAGUAACUGCUAGUAUCCUUCUCAAACAAUGAAGCAUGAACACAAAAUUAAAUGAUUCCAUAAUACCUGUUAAAACAAUCGCUUCCGUUCUCUGUUCUGAGUUCAUCCCAUCCUCCCUUAUAAUCUCAAGCACAUCAAGAACUGAUGAAAACAUUGCAAGUAAACGAAUAAUUGUAAUAUAGUGGGAGCCCCAACGAGUAUCACCAUACCUUCUAAGAGAAGUUUCUUGAUUCAAGCCUCGUCCACUAGAAAUUUCCCCAUUUUCAAGUCCUUCAAUAAUUCUAGCAUAUUGUUUUUCUCUAAUCACCUCCAUCCUUUUACAUGAUGCUCCAACUAUGUUUAUAAUGCUAGAAAUAAAAUUGAAGACAUCUCCAACUUCAUUAUGCUUCUUUGUAACAGCCACAAGAGUCAAUUGAAGUCUAUGAGCAAAACAAUGUACAUAAUAUGCACUUGGAUUGUUAUUUAGAAUAAGUGCUUUCAAGCCAUUGAAUUCACCUCGCAUGUUACUAGCUCCAUCAUAUCCCUGACCACGCAAUCUUGAUAUACUUAACCCAUGUUUAGAAAACAAAGCUUCAAUAGCUGCCUUGAGUGAACUAGCAGUUGUAUCUGACACAUGUUGAAUGCCAAGAAAACGUUCAAUUAUAUGUCCAUUGUUGUCUACAUAUCGUAUAACAACUGCCAUUUGUUCCUUGAUUGAUAUGUCACGUGACUCGUCAAUUAAAAUUGAAAAUAAUGAUCACCUAGAUCUUUGAUAAUCACAUUUGUAAUCUCCUCUGCAGCAGCUUAAGUAAUGUCUUUUUGAAUAUCUGGAGAAGUCAAUUUGUUAUGUCUAGGAGCUUCACUGAAAGUAACUCUUUUAAUAACUUCAUUAUUUUUGGAAAGGAAAUGCAAGAGCUCUAGAUAAUUUCCUUGGUUGCUUGAACAUUCACAUUCAUCAUGGCCACGAAAUGGAAGUCCUUGGUGCAACAAAAAACGAGCACACUCUAUUGAAGCAUUCAAUCGAGUUUGAUAAUCACUUUGACUCUUUACUGUCUGCUCAGAUAACAAAGUCAUGAUACUUUGUUUUUCAUUCAUCAAAUUCUCACAUUUUAUCCGAGCUGCAUUGUGACUACUAUUAGACUUUCCAAUAUGAAGAUCAAAUCUUUCCUUUUUUUUCCAAUUUGAAAACCCAUCACCCACAAACGAAUCAACACCCCUUUUGACUUGAAGAGGUAACAAUACAAGCAAAAGGCAGCAUCUUUGGCUAUACUGUACUCUAACCAUGUUGGGUAUGCACCAAACCAAGCCGGAUUAAAGCGUCGUAGUGUUGAUAUAUUCCCAAAUUGUUUUUGAGGAAAAUCAUAGUGUGAAGGUUGACAAGGACCUUUUUGUAGAUAAGCUCUUCGGAUUGCAUCCCUAUCAUUUAUAUGGUACUCAUAAAUUGGUCUUCUUAAGCCAGGGUCAGCAAGAAGAGUGUCAGGGUUGAUUUCAAUAUGACUUUUCUUUGAACUUGAUUGAGUUACAUGACUUGAAGCUUUGAUUGACUCCUCAUCCUCAAGGGAUUUACGCUUGAAAUACUUGUCCAGUGACAUGUUAAUUUAAUAUGAACCUGCUGGAUUUUUUAUCAUCAUUAGUGUCUACAUAAUAAUUAACACAAGUACACAAUAAUUCACUAUUAAACAAAAGUCAAUUGAAUUACACAAUAAUUCUAAAUCUUUCAUAUGAAAUUAAUAACAAAAUACAUGUCAAUUUAUCAAAAUCAAAACCUAUUUCAAUUCAUAUCUAAAUGCAUAUAAAUUAUAUGAUAUAAUAAGUAUGUUGAUUAAAUUAUACUUAAUUAUUUCUAGACAUUUAAUUAAGGAACAAUGCUUAGUGUAUGUGUAAGAGGAACAAUACUUGAAAAACAUGCUUUCUACUUGAUAUUUUACUUACAAAUAAAUCAUGUGAAAAUAUUAAAUUUCAAUAAACUACUCUAUCAAUGCAAGAGAUGUCAAGAAUAGUGGUUUUGCAUGAAUAUUAAUUUAUUUUUUAUAAUAAGAAAAGAAACACUUAAUUGAUUAAAUUACAGAUUUAAAUAUUUAUAGAGAACAUAUUCAUAACAAAACCCAUAAAUUAUCAUAAACCCUAAUAUUUUUAAUAACUAAUUAUAAAAGAAUAAAACUAAAAUUAGACAAUAAAAUAAAUAGAAAAGAUGAAGAAAAUUUACCUAAAGUACAAAGCAAAAGGCAAAAAAGCUUAAUUGAUGAUUAAAUUUGUAUAUAGGAGACUAGGAGAGGUAGGAACGGUGGCUGAAAAAAAAACCCUACAGGAGAAGAUAAAUAAACAAAAGGGAAAUAGGGAAAAUUGGGGAGCUGUAAAUUAUAAUAUAUAUAUAUAUAUAUAUAUAUAUAUAUUGGGGAGCUGUAAUUAUAUAUAUAUAUACACUUUCCGUAACUGUAACAAUAACAAUAGCUAUUGUAUAAUAACUUUCCUUACUUUCCGUAACUGUUGUUGUAAUUCAUUUUUGGGUCCCCACUUAAAAAAUAAAAAAAAAUAUAUUAUACAAAUAAACAGUAAAACAAAUGCCAGGGCGCCUUAAAAAUGCCCAAAAAUUGAUUGAGGUUGUUCAAAAAACAUGAAAACUAAUUUUUGACAGUGUGUCAUUGACUGAUGAGAGCCCCGAUGAUAAAGAAAAUUUAAUUUGAGGAAGAAAAAUCCAAAUUCAGAAGUUUAUGGACUCAAUUAAAUUUUAUUAAAGGUUUAAUUGAAUUUAUGGAGAGUUUAAUUGCAAGAAAAAUGGAUUUUGGAGUUAAUUUGGGUUUUAAUUAGAAGAAAUUAAUUUUUCCGGGGUCAAAUUAUAUUUUUUGGAAGUUCAUUUGGCAAAUCAGGGGCUUAAUUGCAUAAAAAUUGAAGUUUAAUAGCCAAUUAGGGACUGAAUUGAAGAAAUCCGAGACCAAGGACUAAAAUGCAAAACACGCGCAAAUUGAAGGUUGUCUUUGAAAUCUGACGCGUUUUGGCGCCUUUUCCUUUUAAAUGAAACGACGCGUUUUGACCAAAACGGCGCCGUUUCAUGCACUGUUUAUUAAAAAAAAAAAAAAGAGUCCAAAACGGUGCUGUUUUGACGGCACUGUAGAUCUUCUUCUUCCCCUGAACUUUCUUUUCCAUUUUUUACGCAAUAAGACGCCCACCAUUCGGCGCCCACUUGCCUCCUUUUUCUCCACUGAUCGAUAGUGGAGGGGGCGGCCAACAGUGGCCUCCCCACCGUGACGUCCCCCCCUGUUUUUGCCUAUAAAAACAGGGGAAGGGGAAAGAAAAAGAAGAGGAGAAGAGAGGGAGAGAAGGGGAAGGAUUUAACGACAGAAAGAGAGAGAGAGACGAGAGAAACGGAACGAAAAAAUAGAAAAAAAGAAAAGAAGAAGAAGAAAGAGACACGACAAAGGAGAGAAAAAGAGAAAAAAGAGAGAAAGAGAAAGAAGGAGGACCGUCGCUGGAACCACGGCGACAGCAGCACCGCCUCCGCUAGAACCGCCUCGACGCCACCCCGGGUACCCUCCUGCUCCCCGAUCAUUUUCUUCUCCUGCUGCCCAGCCUUGCAUUUGCAUGCAGAACAUGAAAAUGUUAUUUUGUUUAUCUUUUAAUAUCCCGGGUAUGACAUUAUACGUAAUACAUAUUCCGGAUAUUUGAUUAUUAGUAUUUUAAUUUUCUUUCUUUUUACAUUAGAACCUGGGAUAUGACAUUACAUGUAAUGCGUAUUCCGAACAAUAAUAUAAAAAAAACCACAACACGAUUUUAGAUUUUAUCAGACAUUAAAACAAUGCAGCCUACCUUAGGUAGGGCGUAGUUGGGGUGCUAAUACCUUUCCUUUACGCAACCAGUCUCCGUACUCGAUCUCUAAAGACUAGUUAAGGUUCCUAGUAACCAGAAUACUAGGUGGCGACUCCCAGUCCAUAUUUUCACUUGUAGAGACAAGAAUUCCUUGUCUCUCUCUUUAUUUGCCAGGAAUUGCCCCCUUUUGACCCACUAUGGCUCCGCCACUGGUCAGCACUGAAAGAAACCGAGUGAAUGAUGGAAAAAGACUAAUAGCUAGAAAACAAUCAACAUAACCAAGAACUAUCUGUAUGGUUUCCAAGAAAUUGAAAAGAAUCAAGGAGCGCAACCCUCUUUCUCCUCCAAGAAAAGAAAGAAAAAGAAAAAGAAAGGAAAGAAACUAAGAUAGAAAGUCAAACUUGGCUCCUCUUUCAGUGUUAAAAAAAACACAAAGAAGUUCGAGGAAGUGGGCAGCCGUUGUUCUGCUGUUCACACAGACUAAGAACUCCUAAAAUUGUAAAAUCAUAUAAUUAAAACACAGCAAUAAAAAUGUAAUAAGCAGCUGAUUAAUGCUGUUGUUCAUUCUUCUUGUUUUGCUAUUUUGAUUUUAUCAUAUUUUCUUAAGAAAUUAUGAUUGUGAAAGCUAGCCAAACUAUUAGAUCCAAGCAAUCAAAUAUAGAAACUAGCAUAGUUGCGCCCUGUUCUCCCAAGUACUUUGUAUAAUCUAACUUUUUUUUAUAUGAUUUUUUAAUUUAAUUAUGCAAUAAAUUCAUAGAAAAGACUACAACAUGAAAAAUAUAUAUUUCAUCAAAAAUGUGUAAUCAUUCAUGUAUUUUUCUUAACAAAAAAAAAGUUUUUGAUCACAACUAGAAAACCGGAGAAAACCAAUGGAAUUACCGAUAAAAAAAUUUUGUUCGGUAAUUUUAUCGACGGAAAUACUUUCUUCGGUGAUACGGUCGGUAUAUACAGAUAGAAAAUACUCGUCGGUGAUCCUGUCGGUAUAUACCGACGGAUACAGUCCAUCGGUAUCUACUGACCGGAUCACCGACGGAUUAAAUAGUUUUUUGGAAAGUUGCAAUGAUGCGAUGACGUGGAUUUUUUUUAGAUGAUUUUACUGACAGAAUGACCGAUAUAUUCAAACUGGGAUCUCCAUACAAUGACAUGGCACAUUCACUGGCGGAAUCACCGACGGUUUGACCGACGUAAACGGUCCGUCGGUGAUUCCAUCGGUAAAAUGGCGCCAAAGAAGUGUCAAAUUCUAAGUCAAUCCUCAAUUUGUUAUUUAUUCAAUGAAGUCCUUAAUUGCAAUUUUGAUUUUAAGAAUCAAUUCAAUUGCAUCACUGCCAAAUUCAAAUUUUAAAUCAAUUCAAUUUUUAUUUUGGUCCUUGGCCUUGGAUUUAUGCAAUUUAAACCCUAAUUAACCAUCAAACUUUUAAAUUUCUUCAAUUUAGCCCUUGAUUAUCGUCAAUUGGAUCCCUAGAGUUUUUAAACUUUAAUUGUUUCGAAUGAUAAUAAAAUUGACUUCUAAAAGUUGAUUUAAAUGUUGAUUUCCCUUGCAAUUAAAACCCUAAUUAAUUUAAUUAAAUCUAUGAUUGAAAAUUCCAAUUGAGUAUUUAAACACCCAAAAAAGAAUAUUUUUACUAAUGAGUUUUGUCAAUUGAAACUGUGGAUUACCAUUUUGGCCUACUAAUUUCACUUGGCAUUUAGGUCUUCCUGGACAUUUCAUUUUAGGCUUGCUUGAAGUGUAUAUUUCCUUGCAUUUAUUUUAUUAUUUUAUUAUAAAAUGGGUAACAUAGAUAAUAAUCAAUCACAUAAAAAUACACAAUGAUUUAGGGCACGCACAACUAUAAUAGUUUAUUUCCAUUUAAAUGAAUCCUUUACUACCGAAACUCUGUCCUUACAGUUAAUAAGAGCUUUCUGAAUAUGAUUUCGGCCAUUUUAGUAGUCUCAACAUUUCAUAAUUAUCCUUCCCAAAACACAAGUGACGUGAAUAUCUUUUUAGUCUUCGUCGAUACAGUUGACUCAUAUAUAUAUAUAGUCUAUUAUUUUUUUGUAAGAAAAAUAAAAAUAAAAAGAAUAAAAAAUUGGGUUAUAACAUUAACAAUUAAAUCCAAGCAUAAUGUUACUCUCUAUUAUAAGAAUUUAAUUUAAACACACAAAACCAAUAUUAAUUAACUCAUUUAUACCACAUUUAACAAUUUCAACCCAAACAGUCCUAAAUGUCAUUAAAAUAUAAGAAUUUAAUUUAUUCCUAAUUAAAAAAAAACAUUAUUUCUAUUUUUAUAAGUUUUUCUUAAAUGUUAAUUAAAUAAUUGUUUUUUGAUCAAAUUUUAAACAAUUCAUUCGUAUUUCAAUUCAUAUAUUUAUAAGAAUUUAAUUUUUUUAAUUGAUUUUUAAAUUUCAUUCUAAAUCUAUAGUGUAAAGAUUAAACUGGAUUAUUGUAAAAAUCAAUAGGAGGUCUUGCUUGUUGGAACUAAUAAUGCCCUCUUUUUUUUGGCAGCAUAUUCAUGUGGUUUUAUUUAAUUUCUCUGGUUAGUUUAUAAAUUUAUUUUGUUGGUGUCAACAUUAAUUUAUUUCAAACAAAUUUUCUUAUCUAAAUUUUGAGAGUCUUAAAUAAGAAAUUCUAUGAUGUUGAAUUUGUAAUCAUAAUAUUUACCACAUAAACAUAAAUAUAAGAAUAAGAGAUAAAUAUGAAAGAGGGGAUUUUUAAAAAUAAUAUUAUCAUUUCUUAUAGAAUUGAAUUUUUUUUAUUUUUUUAUAUAUCUAUUUCUAUUUUAUACUAUAAAUAUUAAUAUAUAGAUAUAAUAACAUAAACCAGUAGAGAUCCAAACAUAAGAAAAUAUUAUUAUUAUUAUUAUGGGAUAAACUAGCAUGAAAUCCAGAAAUGGAUAAUGCUCGUAAGCCCAACACAAAGCAAUACCCAAAUGGAGUCCAACUAAGGAAGUAGAAAGGGCCGAAGGGACUCUUUUUACAAGGAAGCUGCCACAUAUUAAAAUAAAAACUGUUUUUUUUAAAAAAAUUAUUUUUUAAUAUUUUAUUUUAAAUUAAUAUGUUUUUAGUAUUUUUAGAUCAUUUUAAUGCGCUGAUAUCAAAAAUAAUUUUUAAAAAAUAAAAAAAAUAUUAUUUUAAUAUAUUUUCAUGUCAAAAAUACUUUAAAAAGCAACUGUAGCUACACUCCAAAACACACUCUAUAGUCAUCAACAAAUAGAAGAACAACAAUGGAUGAACUUCAAGAAAGAGAGAAAAAAAAAAAGAACUCAAUGCAUCAGAGAUCAAAUACGUUAGCUAUGGUGGUGAGCAUCACCUACCAUUAAUCAUGAAUCUUGUCGAUCAAGAACUUAGCAAGCCUUACUCCAUCUUCACCUACCGUUACUUUGUCUAUCUUUGGCCACAACUUUCUUUCUUGGUAAAUGUGAUUCUUUUUUUCUUUUAUGUUGUUGGGAUUUUUUUUGGUGUUGUAACGGUGUUUUUAUGGGUUUUCAAUUUCAGGCGUUUCACAAAGACAAAUGUGUAGGGACUGUUGUUUGUAAGAUGGGGGAUCAUCGGAAUUCAACUUUUAGAGGUUACAUUGCUAUGUUAGUUGUCAAAAUGCACAAAAUUAAAACUAAAAACCAAAAUAAAAAAGACAGUUAACUCUAGGGCUAACAUUUGAAUUUGACAGGAAUAAUUGAAUUAAUUCUUAAAAAAAAAAAAAACAGUUAAAAAUGGUGUCUUUUCGAUGGCAUUGUGCAUCUUUCUUCCCCUAGAUGUGUUGUAGGCAGGGGAAGAAGGUUUUUCUUCCACUUCAUUGCAGCUUCUCCCUCACCUCUCUCUCUCACUUGCCUGAAAACACCGACACAACUCACAUCCCCCUUAUAGCCUACCACCAUGAUGAAAGGGGGUAGAGGGGACAAGCCCUGUGGGUGGCCCUGGGAUGGCUACAUAAUGGCUGCCCAACCUCUCUACCCCUUUGGCAUGAUUGGACAGAGGUAAGGUAAGUCUCUUUCUCCUUUCCCCUUAUAAAUACCGCCCUCACCAAGAGGUGAGGGGGAGGAUGAAAAGAUUGAAUAAAAAACAGAAAAUAAAGAGAAAAAAAGAAAAAAAACAAGGAAAAAAAACAGAGAAAGUUUGAAGGGAAUAAACAGAAAAGAAAAAGAGAAGAAAAGAGAGAAACAAAGAAAAAAUAGGAAAGCAAACUCCUCGGCCUCACACCAUCUUUCCCCCCUACUAACUUCACUAUAGCUCCUAGAACCACCAUCAUUUUGCUUCAUCACCACCACCACACCAUCGUGAGCCACCAUCAACCUUAGUUCCCUUAAAACAAAACUUGUUGGGCCGAUAUCGGCCCAACCCUUAUUUUAGGCUAAUAUUGGCUCAACUCUUUUGGACCGACCUCAACCCAAUUUCUCUUUGUGUCAACUUCAGCCAAAUUUCUUUUAGGCCAAAUCUCAGCCUAAUGAGGGUGGGCUUAGCCCACAUAACUAGGCCAUGCUCAUCCCAAUAUUUUAUUAUUAUAUAUUUAUAAUAAUAUAUAAUAUUUUUUUAUUACAUAUAAAAGUAAAAAAAGCAACAAAAAAUCCCAAAACAAUUCCAAAAACAUCCUUUCAAAAAUUUGUGAUUUUCUCACAAAUGUUUUUACCAAUUUUUAUUGAUAUUGGUUUGUAUUUUUAUACUGUAAAGAUAAAAAUCUGAUAAUAAAAUACCUUGUUUUCUCUAAAAUUUUGCAAAAAAAUUCUAAAAGAAAUGUUUUGUUUUCAUGCAUAAAAAAGGAAAUGUUUUGUUUUCAUGCAUACAACUAAGUCUCUCAAAAAAAUAUAUAUAAAAAAUCUUAUCAUGCUUUCAUACAAAAAAGGAAUAAAAAAAGAUAUUAAGUAUUUCUUUACCGAGGAGGACUUUUCUUAAACCUUAGAUAAACCAUGUAACAGUCUGACUGUAUUACUUGCUCAAUGUUAAAAGAUCCCAACAUAUCCUUUUUAUUUUAGGGUAAUCUUUUUUUAUUCACCAAAAAUUCGGUAGGGUUUCAUUUGUAUUUGGGACAUCCCAAAUUAUCGACUACAAUUAGUUUACUCAAUCAACCCAUCAUCACAAGGUCCUGUAAUUCCGGACGUUUCAUCAAACAUCAUAAUUCAACACCUUCAUACAAUCCACACAAUAUAUAUAUAUAUAUAUAUAUAUAUAUAUCCUACGAGUAAGUUCAAGAUGAACAUAGUCUACAUAUCAUAUCAUAAAAUUUAAAAGAAAAGGACUACUAACAUGUAAAGAAAGCAUUUACAGCAUAAUAAGUAUAAAUUUUCUAUCGGAUUCAUAAGAAUUCUAAUAGACAACUUAUAUAUGUUGCUUGUAAAUCUUUUAAACCCAAUUAACACUCAUUUGCAUAUUCUUAAUUUGGAUACUUUUAUUUACUUACGUGAACUGGGUGACCUUGCAAAAUCUAAUCUUGAAAUUCAUUUACUAGCAAUCCUAUCACGGACGCCAUUAGCCGAGGCAAAUCUUGUAAUUCAUCUCCCGAUAUUCCUAUCACGGAUGCCAUUAGCCGAAGCUAAUCUUGUAAUUCAUCUCCCGGUAUUCCUAUCACGGAUGCCAUUAGCCGAAGCUAAUCUUAUAAUUCAUCUCCCCGCAAUCCUAUCACGGAUGCCAUUAGCCGAAGCUAAUCUUAUAAAUACGCUAGGCUUUAUUUACUUUGAACACGAUAUUUAUUAUAAUUACAUUCGCCAAAAGAAUUUUAAAUUGUAUAAGUGCAAAUAGGAGGGAAAAUCACGCACCUACUUCGCCUGUCUCGUGUGUCUCGUGACCUCCCCUAAUAGAAGAUCCAAUCCUGGUUGCUCCUCUUGAAUCACAAGGAAGUUUUAGGUUAUGAUUCCUUAAAGCCAAUAUUAUAGAGAAUCCUUAUUCAUCCAUUACUCAUAUGUUACUUUCUAUACUUGUUCAUUUCCUCAUAAUAACAUACAGACAUAUAUCAUGCAUAUUUUCAGAGUUAGUAUCUUAAUGUACAAGUGUUCAUAUGACUUCAUUCUUUUAUAUUCUUAUAUAUAGUAUUCACGUGAAAGUUUACUGUUACUGUCUAACAUUGAAUUGUUACUGUCUACACAUUGAACUGUUACUGUCUAGACAUUUGAACUGUUACUGUCUACUUUUUGAACUGUUACUGUCUAACUUUGAACUCUUACUGUCUGAACACUCAUCAAAUUUUUAAUUAUAUCUAAAAUUCUAAAACUCCAUUUUAAGUGAGAUUGAUCUCGUUAGAAAGUUAAGACACGAGACUACUAGUUCUCUGAAGGAAGGAGAACCCAGUUCUGCCUCCAAGAUAAUCAAAAGUGCUCAUCAACUAAGCAGUCUUACUGCCCUAUAUAAUCAGUCACGACUCAGUCUCGGCUGGUAACUCAUAAUUGGAGUUCUACAUCUCCAAAUUGAGCAAGACCGGUUUUCUUGGUUAGCUAACAUUCAAAUCUACAAUUUUUAUGAAGGAAUCCAAUCCUAAUUUCCAUCCUCCUACUUGAAAUCUCACCAAAAGUCAGGAGACAAGUCUGUCCAGAUUCGUCUCCCCCCUCCCCUUCAUACAAUACUUUCAUAAACUACAUACCACACACAUAAAUUAACUUAAUCUUAAAAAUAAGUACUUUUUCCCCAAUUCAUGUCUAAGAACCCUAACCUAUGAUUCAAUAUCAAGGCAUCAAUUCAUUAUCGAAUUUAAAAAUGAAUUUUUUAAGAUCAUGUUUAGAACACCUUACCCGGUACGAAUUAAGAUUUUGAUCUUCAACUAGUUGAAGAUUUUUAACUCCCUCUUUUCUUUUUUUUUCUUGUUCAAUUUCUUGGUAAUCCCAUGCUCUCAAGUGUUUAUCCCAUCUAUAAACCCUUAAUCUUGGAUGGGUUCUUGAAAUUUUAGCGUUUCUCUCUUGAUUUCGCAAAAAUAGGUAUAAAACUCCCUAUUUUCUCUCCUUAUGGUUCCUGCAAAUUUUUGGUGAGGAGAUAGUACUUAUACUUUAUAUUUUCCCUUAUUUGCAUUUAGGCCCCUUUUUCCUUUAAGUGUAUUAUUCUCUUUAAUUAAAUUCAACCCUCAAGUAUCGGGUUUAUUAUCAUGUCUCGAAUUAUUUCACCUGGAAAUUUAUAUUCAAAAAUUUCUGAAUUCCUGUUUUUAUUUAACCAUAUAAAUGAAUUUCUUUAUUUUUCCCGGGGUUUACAAACCAACAAUUAGAAAUCACAAUAAUACCUUAGUUUAUAUCAGAUAAUUAAAUAAAGCAGCUUACCACAGGUAAGAUGUAUUAUAAGUGUUAAUAUCUUUCUUUUACGCAAUUAGUCCAUGUAUCCAAUUUCUGAGACCAGUUAAGGUUUCUAUUGACCAAAAUAUCUGGUGGCGACUCUCAUUUUCUCUUUCCACUAAUAAAAAACUAGAAUUAUUUGUCCUUUUCAUUUCUCGAUCCGAGAGGAAUCACUUUUAAAUCUCAUAACCUCGGCUAUAAUAACUAUGUUUUGGUACCAUUUUCAAGUAUUUAUAUAUCUAUGCACAUAACGUGUUAUCUAUUGAAAUAUUUUUUAGUUAUUUUUUAUGACUAUAAAAUAAAAUCAUAGUUUUUGUACUGCAAAACCUAAAUUUUAUCUUGCAUACACCGCCAAAAACGUUUAGGAACCUCAAAAACUCUUUUUUUUUUAACCCCAAAAUAUCUUCUAAUUAGCCUAAAUAGUAAAAAUCAAUCUAAAUAAAAAAAAAUAUGGGUCUAAUAAACUUUUUCUAGCAUGGUUAAAAGGCAAAAUCAUCUUUAUUAAACUCCCUUCUUCAAAACAAAUCCAUUAAUGUUAAAAUUAGUCUUUUUAUGACCGGAAUAUGAUUAGCUUCUUUUUUUUUUACCACAUUAAUUCUCCCCCCUCUCAACAUUCAAUAACUAAAAAUAUGAUAAAAAUGAAGUUUUAAAACAGAGUCGUAAAAAUUUUAAACUACAUGAUUAAAUAAAUCUAAAAAACAAAAACUUCAAGGACCAUAUUAAACUUUUCUACAACUUUCAAAAAAGAUUGCAUUAUAGGAGAAUAGUUUAAUGCACAGUAACUUGAGUCUUGCUGGACAAUAAAAUUUGUUAUGGUAAGAAUAAUAAAUGUUUUAAUUUAGAUUAUAACACGAAGCAUGCACAAUUAAGAUUACAACAAGGAGAUUUCAAGAAGUAGUUAAACUUAGGUUAUAUUAGAUAUGACUUUUGUAAAUUGAUUUAAAAUAUUUUUGAGUUUUGAUUUUAAUUUGUUUUUUGAAGUAAGUUAAAAUAGCUUUUGAUUUAAUUUUUUUUUGUUAUAAAUUGGAUUCAAACCUUUGAUUUAAUAAAAAACAAGAAAAUUUUGCUUUAGUUUGUGGAUUUUAUACUGAAUUCUUUAUUAAAAAGUUAUUUUGAAUCAUUUUUACAAAUAAUGCUUAUAUCUUACGGUUAUUUUAGUUUAUUUUUUUCAUAAAUUAUUUAUAAAAAAAACUUUUAAAUUAUAAUUCAAAUUAAAAUAUCAUAAUUAGUUAUGAAUUGGAUUCGAUGAAAGGAAGAUGGGAAGAGGGGAAAUGGGUAACGGGAAAUUAAAGAGAGAUGAUGAUCUGCGCAUGGCUACCUGUAACAGAACAGAUGGAAAAAAGUCGAAACAACUCGGCUAGAAUUUAGACCGAGGAGCAUUUAGAGGAUAGAAUAUUUAAGUGAGAUGAAUUUUGUCUCACUUUUUUCUAUUAAACCGAGGAGCAUUUAGAGGAUAGAAUAUUUAGAGUCUCUAGCAAGAGCCAGCAAGGUAUCUGCUCGAAAAAACCAUUCAACAAGAGAUUGUUCUGCUAGGAAAACAUGAUAUCAGUAUCAAACUUUUGAGCAUAUAGUACAGCAUAAAGUCUCAGUCAUCUUGAAAUAUGUCGACAACAAGUCACAUAAGCAUAUGCAAUAGAAACAGAGCAUCAAACAGACAGAGAAAACAUACUGAUGCAGCAAAUACCGAAGUCGUAGAGCCAUUAGUUUGAGCAGAAAGGAAAAUGAAAGUCCACACAUUAAACUGUAAACAUUAUGCCCUUGUUUUUGAAGAUUUAGACACUUCAAAAGAAACACACGCUCCUAUUUUUGGGAAGUUCACAUAGCAAACACUUAGAUAAGUCGACAUCUUCUUUUGGUAAAUAAAACUGUUACAAUGUGAAUCCAAUUUCUAUCCCAUUGUUACAAAAGCUUCUUGUGAUGAUUUUGAGGGUGUAAAUUCCUUUGAUGGAAGAAAUUCUCUGUCUUGAAGAGGAGCUUUGUGGGACACUGAUGAAAACGUUUUUGUAUUUUAUUCAAGGUUUCUCAAAGUCACCGUCUUCUUUUCCAGUGCCUUGCUUAACUUGAAUUUUUGUAUCCAAUUUGGACACCAAGUAAGGAAUUUGCCAUGUUUUUCUAUUUCAUUUUCCAAACAAUUCACAGCUUCAAUUUUGUUGUUUGCAUCUUCCAGCCA
rnacentral:lncRNA from 1 species